CAGAACUGGAAACAGGCUAGGGAUGGCAAAUGAUACAAAGCACGGGUACUUUAGAUACAUUUGGAUAUAACCAUGGAAGAAAACUCUUUUUAGGAGUUUCACUUUGGUUGAUGCUGCUGCAAAUCAGCUGAGCCUGGUAAAUUUUCUUUGUAUUAACUGCCGACAUGAAUUUCCUGAGCAAAACCCACCCAAACAAAAAAACACCAUGGAAACAAACAAAGACAGUAGAAAACAUAUAAAUCCACAUAUGGGAAAGAUACAAGAGAAAUAUGUUCUGAUGUAAUUUUCAGAAUGGACAGCAUGAUGCAUACUUCCUGACCCUGUAACAUAGGUUAAUCUUUUCAGUAGGGAGGUUUCCACUCCAAAUGCAGUGAAGUCUUAGAUACUAUUUGUAAAUCAGGAGAUAUUUUAACUACCAUGCUACAGGACAUUGAGCAGUCUGCAAAGUAAGGGCAAUAAGCAGAAAGUUGCCAAAUCCUGUGUAGGGCACAGGACGCUGCUUUUCUGUCUUUGAGACAUUUUUGGAGCAAAGAUUCACCAGCUGCUUUUUGGUUGCCCCACCACACAAGAAAGGCAAUCAGCUGCAAUGUGUGCCUCACGAAGCUCACACUGCCUGGCUGGCGGGCUCAGCCAUGUCAUUUCAUCCAGAGGAGCAGACAGAAGCCUUCCUCUACAAACACCCUUGUCUACUCACCUAGCAACCUAUAAAAGAGAAGAAAUCAACUCUGUGGCGUCCCUGGGCUUCUCCUUGAUGCAGUUUUACAGCAAAAAGCAAAUUCCAUGAUUUCAUGGUGUCUUCAAACAUUUUGAUCUCCAGACAAAACUUCCCAGAGAACCUUGUACAGCACAAAAAGAACAAUGGAGGUGCACAAUACCUCUGAAGCUGACAAGAACUCAACCACAAUGUUCAGGAGAUUAAGAAGAAGGAGAAAGCUGAAGGACAACUAGAAGGCAAAGCUUGUGGGGGACGCUGCACAAGUCUUUGACAUACAGCCAAGUUGGACAAAGGAGAAGGACAAGAGGGAGGAAGACUAUGAGCCUUCAGCACGAGAGACCCCCGCAGGGACCCCCAGAGACUGAUACGCAUG